GAUGAACGCUAGCUACAGGCUUAACACAUGCAAGUCGAGGGGCAGCGGGAUUGAAGCUUGCUUCAAUUGCCGGCGACCGGCGCACGGGUGAGUAGCGCGUAUCCAACCUUCCGUACACUCAGGGAUAGCCUUUCGAAAGAAAGAUUAAUACCUGAUGGUAUCUUAAGCACACAUGUAAUUAAGAUUAAAGAUUUAUCGGUGUACGAUGGGGAUGCGUUCCAUUAGGUAGUAGGCGGGGUAACGGCCCACCUAGCCAACGAUGGAUAGGGGUUCUGAGAGGAAGGUCCCCCACAUUGGAACUGAGACACGGUCCAAACUCCUACGGGAGCAGCAGUGAGGAAUAUUGGUCAAUGGACGAGAGUCUGAACCAGCCAAGUAGCGUGAAGGAUGACUGCCCUAUGGGUUGUAAACUUCUUUUAUACGGGAAUAAAGUGAGGCACGUGUGCCUUUUUGUAUGUACCGUAUGAAUAAGGAUCGGCUAACUCCGUGCCAGCAGCCGCGGU
rnacentral:rRNA from 1 species